rnacentral:rRNA from 1 species
UCAAGCUACAAAGAGCACAAGGGGAAUGCCUUGGCAUCGGGAGCCGAAGAAGGACGCGACUAACUGCGAUAAGCUACGGGGAGCCGUAAGUAGGCAUUGAUCCGUAGAUUUCCGAAUGGAGCAAUCCGACUAGAGUCAUGUCUAGUCAUCAUAUACUGAAUAAAAUAGGUAUAUGAGGGGAACCGUCUGAACUGAAACAUCUAAGUAGGGCGAGGAAAAGAAAUCAACCGAGAUUCCGCUAGUAGUGGCGAGCGAACGCGGAAGAGGCCAAACCGAGAGUAGUAAUACUUUCGGGGUUAGGACAGAAAUGUGUACACAGAGGUUUAGCAGAAUUGUAUGGGAAGGCAAACCAAAGAGAGUGAAAGUCUCGUAUGCGAAAAACUGAAGUGGCUAUCUGAAUCCAGAGUACCGCCGGACACGAGGAAUCCGGUGGGAAGACGGGGGGACCAUCCUCCAAGCCUAAAUACUAACCGAUGACCGAUAGAGAAGAGUACCGUGAGGGAAAGGUGAAAAGCACCCCGGGAGGGGAGUGAAAGAGAACCUGAAACCUUGUGCUUACAAGCACCGAGAGCCCGUCAAAGGGUGAUCGGGUACCUAUUGUAGAAUGGUCCGGCGAGUGAAUGUUACUGGCAAGGUUAAGCACUUAAGGUGUGUAGCCAAAGCGAAAGCAAGUCUGAAUAGGGCGAUUUUAAGUCAGUAGUAUUCGACCCGAAACCGGGUGACCUACCCAUGUCCAGGUUGAAGUGGAGGUAAAACUCCAUGGAGGACCGAACCGACUCCCGUUGAAAUGGUAGCGGAUGAGGUGUGGGUAGCGGAGAAAUUCCAAUCGAACCCGGAGAUAGCUGGUUCUCUCCGAAAUAGCUUUAGGGCUAGCCUCGGAAUAGAUUACUGGAGGUAAAGCACUGAAUGGGCUAGGGGCCGAGAGGUUACUGAACCCUAUCAAACUAAGAAUGCCAGAUAAUUGUUUUCCGGGAGUCAGACGGCGUGAGAUAAGUUUCGUCGUCAAAAGGGAAAGAGCCCAGACCCACAGCUAAGGUCCCAAAGUAUAGUUAAGUGGAAAAGGAUGUGGGGUUGCCCAGACAACCAGGAUGUUGGCUUAGAAGCAGCCACUCAUUAAAAGAGUGCGUAAUAGCUCACUGGUCGAGUGACCCUGCGCCGAAAAUUCAACGGGGCUAAAUUAUACACCGAAGCUUGGGAUACCGCAAGGUAUGGUAGGAGAGCGUUCUGUAAGGAGUGAAGUGAGAGCGAAAGCGUUCGUGGACUUUACAGAAGUGAGAAUGCCGGAAUGAGUAGCGAGAAAUAUGUGAGAAUCAUAUUGGCCGAAAGUCUAAGGUUUUUGGAGGAAGGUUCGUCCGCUCCAAGUAAGUCGGGAGCUAAGGUGAGGCCUAACGGCGUAGCCGAUGCACAUACGGUAGAUAUUCCGUAACCACCGAAAGAUUUAAACACAGGGACACCUUGAAAGGGCAUAUCCCGGGAGUUGGUUUACCCGGGCGUAAGGGAUCGAAAUUUGAGUAGAGAAGUAUGUUUGGACGAGGGCGAGAAAAGCUGUGCGUAUAUUUUAGGUGCCCGUACCGCAAACCGACACAGGUGGACAGGAAGAGGAUUCUAAGGCCAACGGGAGAAGGGUAAUUAAGGAACUCGGCAAAUUGACCCCGUAACUUAGGGAUAAGGGGUGCUCAUAGGAAUAUGAGCCGCAGAGAAUAGGCCCAGGCAACUGUUUAUCAAAAACACAGGUCUCUGCCAAAUCGAAAGAUGACGUAUAUGGGCUGACACCUGCCCGGUGCUGGAAGGUUAAGAGGAGGAGUGAGAGCUCCGAAUUGAAGCCCCAGUAAACGGCGGCCGUAACUAUAACGGUCCUAAGGUAGCGAAAUUCCUUGUCGGGUAA